AUUGAACGCUGGCGGCAUGCCUUACACAUGCAAGUCGAACGGUAACAGGUCUUCGGAUGCUGACGAGUGGCGAACGGGUGAGUAAUACAUCGGAACGUGCCUAGUAGUGGGGGAUAACUACUCGAAAGAGUGGCUAAUACCGCAUGAGAUCUACGGAUGAAAGCAGGGGAUCGCAAGACCUUGUGCUACUAGAGCGGCCGAUGGCAGAUUAGGUAGUUGGUGGGAUAAAAGCUUACCAAGCCGACGAUCUGUAGCUGGUCUGAGAGGACGAUCAGCCACACUGGGACUGAGGCACGGCCCAGACUCCUACGGGAGGCAGCAGUGGGGAAUUUUGGACAAUGGGCGAAAGCCUGAUCCAGCAAUGCCGCGUGCAGGAUGAAGGCCUUCGGGUUGUAAACUUCUGUUAAGUGGGAAAAAAUACUUUUUGCUAAUAUCAAAAAGGGAUGAUUGUACCACUAGAGAAAGCACUGGCUAAUCUCGUGCCAGCAGCCGCGGUAA
rnacentral:rRNA from 1 species